rnacentral:rRNA from 1 species
CAGUCGCCACGGGAAUACGUAGGUGGCAAGCGUUGUCCGGAAUUAUUGGGCGUAAAGCGCGCGCAGGUGGUUUAAUAAGUCUGAUGUGAAAGCCCACGGCUCAACCGUGGAGGGUCAUUGGAAACUGUUAAACUUGAGUGCAGGAGAGAAAAGUGGAAUUCCUAGUGUAGCGGUGAAAUGCGUAGAGAUUAGGAGGAACACCAGUGGCGAAGGCGGCUUUUUGGCCUGUAACUGACACUGAGGCUCGAAAGCGUGGGGAGCAAACAGGAUUAGAUACCCGUGUAGUCCCUGUCUCUUAUAC